rnacentral:rRNA from 1 species
UGGGGAAUAUUGCACAAUGGGCGAAAGCCUGAUGCAGCAACGCCGCGUGAGGGAUGACGGCCUUCGGGUUGUAAACCUCUUUUAGUAGGGAAGAAGCGAAAGUGACGGUACCUGCAGAAAAAGCACCGGCUAACUACGUGCCAGCAGCCGCGGUAAUACGUAGGGUGCAAGCGUUGUCCGGAAUUAUUGGGCGUAAAGAGCUCGUAGGCGGUUUGUCGCGUCUGCUGUGAAAUCCCGAGGCUCAACCUCGGGUCUGCAGUGGGUACGGGCAGACUAGAGUGAGGUAGGGGAGAUUGGAAUUCCUGGUGUAGCGGUGGAAUGCGCAGAUAUCAGGAGGAACACCGAUGGCGAAGGCAGAUCUCUGGGCCAUUACUGACGCUGAGGAGCGAAAGCAUGGGGAGCGAACA